ACUCCCCAGUAACGGUAGUGGCCCUAACGGUUGGGCGAGUCCUGAGGCUGCCGUGGAGAGUGACCCACAGCCCCUAAACAAGGACUAUGAGGAAAUGGAUGAGCGUUGGAGGAAGACCGGAGAAGCGCGUCCAGUGCCGUCCUUGACACCUCGCUCCUAAGGAGCCCAAGCAGCCGCGCGUGGACGAGGCCCAAAGCCCAGCAGCCCGGAAGGGACGCGCCCCACAGCCCCGAAGUGUCUGUGCUGGGCCUCGGUGAGCAGCGCGAGGGCGCGGGGCCUGCAGGGGGCGCUGUAGCCUGGAUGGAGAUGUGCCGACAGGGCCCUGAGGUAGGAGCUGAAGCUGCCUGAAGAAUCCUGGCCUAACUCAGUGGCGACUGUGUUUAAAAAGUUGCCUUAGGGUCGCUGCUCUGACUCUGCCUCUGGACAUUUCCCGCACCAGCCCACCAGUGCUUUCCUCUCCCUUGGGAGCCUGGCCGCAUGGACCUGCCCUGCCUUGAUGAGUCUCUUACCACAGUGGAGCAGUUGCCUCGGUCCCACCUGUGCCACAGCAUGUCAUGUCGCCCUCACCUGCAGAGCCAGAACUGACCUGGCAAACACAGUGCCAAGGCCUCAACUCGGAAACAUUCACAGCCCGAGGAGCCUCAGGGGCCACACCACGCUGCCCUAGCUAACCUGCAAGAUAUGGACAGCUCUCAUAUUUUUGCAUUUUUUUCUUUGUCCUUAUCUGGAAGCCAGACCCACGUCCCCAGUCCCCACAUGUGUGUGGCAGGUCCCAAUCACAGCUGUCCCUGGGUUUCCUUCUCUCAGCUCACCAGUGUCAAGUACCAAUGUAUCUCCAAGAACAGUAGCAAGGGCAACGUUGGCCACGAGUGCCCAGACUGCUCCUGUGGCUGCUGCCAACACAGCUCCUCUGGCACCCUCAGUUCCUCAGCACACGCACUCCACAGUGAACUCUGCAUUCUCUGUGGAUCCCCAAGGAUAAGGUCCCUCAAGGCAGGGAUCAGUUGCCCAGCCAGUGUUUAGCACCCCAGACACAUCCUGUAGUCAGAAUCAGCAGGCCUUGGAAAUCAUUUUCCAAAUCCAAGCUUCAGCAUGCUGGAGCAUAUCAUAUGGAAGAUACCUGAUGAGUGAAGCAAUGAUUGACCAAUGCAAUGUUUCUGGGACUCAGAAGAGGCAGUUUAUACUUCAGGAUGGAAGUCGGAAAGGAAAUCAGCAAAAUCAGCAAAGGCUUUCAAGAAAAGCCACCAUGAAUUGCGGCCCAACCAUGCCCACCUGUCUUGGAGCCAACUGAGUGUGGACUGAAACCUCCAAAAACUCCUGUGCUGUCUUUGGAAACAAGCAGCUUUCCAGUGAUGGAAGGGGUGGAUUGAGCUUGGAACUCUUCAGAAGGCCCCACACCAAGGACAGGAUGGCUUUUGACAGUCGAAUUCCAGUGAAGCUGUCAUCCCUGGAAGAUUUUCUGAUUUCACCUCUGUGCAAGCCUCCAUCCUCACAGUAUCUUGACAUUGCCUAGGAAAGUUCAUCAAAAGGAAUACAGGCUUGCUGAGUGUGCUUUCAUCCAUCCAUAUUGAGGAGCAGGAGCUGUACUUCCUCUUAUGCUGACAGUAGAAGAAAUUGUCACAGUAAGUUAGACUCCCAAAUGUUGGGGCUGUUUCCUUGAUUAAAAUGUCAAGUGACAAACCAUGAAGGUAUUUCUUACACUGCAUGAAAGGUCUGAGAGCAGUGUCAUGCAUAUGGGUCUGCAAAUGUUACUGCGGGAGGCUGUUUAUUUUCAGGGGUGUUGGAGGAGUAGGUUGUAAAAUAUAGCCCUUAUUAUGCUACCUGUUUUCAAAUCUGACAAGCGUUUAGUAUACAUCAUUUUAUAAAUAUUAUAAAAAGUUUAAAAUAAGAUUUUGGACUUUUAGCAAGAAAAACAGCUAAGAUUUUCUAUUUCUACUGUUAGUAACUAGAAUAAAAUGUAAUGCCUUGCAUAAUAUUGACACAGUAUUAACAGUAUAGUACAACAAACAAAAGCUUAACACUUAAUUGAUUAACUGACACUAAGUGUGUUAAUGUGAUAAGACAAAUAUUUCACAGUCAAAGCACUGUGUCAGGGAUGCUCAGUCACUAACAAGCCAGGGCCAUAGGUCACCUGGGCCUGUACCCUUACCAAGGAUAUACAAGUACUAUUUGAAGAUUCCCUCACAUCUAAAAUACAGGACAAGAACAACUUUGAGAACUGAACAUUCAGUUAUUUUCUGGGUGGAUUUCCAUUACAUCACUUUGUGGAAAGCCUCAGACACUCAAGAUUACAUGUAAUUCUCUAAAGCUAUCUGACACUUAUCAGGACACAUUUCUGCCUCAUUCAUGCUGUUCGCUGCCUGAGAAGCAUUUUUCGGUGUUC